GGAAGGGUGAGAACCUUCGAUUAAGGUUCGACUCGAGCGAAAGCGAGAGAACGUUGCCAACGGCAACGGCCCGUAGGGUGAGGAGCGAAGCGACGAAUAAUCCUUCCACCACCAUCA
rnacentral:sRNA from 1 species